rnacentral:rRNA from 1 species
AUGGGCGUGGCACGGGGCGGGGCACCACGUGCACGGCUUGGUAUCUACAAGGCAUGCUGGGUGGGUGGGUGCCCUGAUGCAGCCGUCCUCGCAGCCAUCGACGAUGCCAUAUAUGAUGGCGUGGAUGUCAUGUCACUAUCGAUUGGAAGUGUUGGUAAGGAGAUUCCUGGGACACUGCAUGCUGUACAAAGAGGGACAUCCGUUGUGUUCAGUGGAGGGAAUGAUGGACCUGUGCCGCAGACUGUAACUAAUGCAGAACCAUGGGUUACGACGGUUGCCGCUAGCACGAUUGACCGUUCUUUCCCGACGUUGAUAUCGAUAGGAAACAAAGAAAAGCUUGUGGGGCAAUCUCUAAACUACAAUGCGGCUAUGAACAACAGCGGAUUUCAGGACCUUGUUCAUGUGCUGAGCUGCGACGCCGAAUCACUGGCGUUGAGCAAUGUCACUGGCAAAACCGUCCUCUGUUAUGCACCAGCCCAGGCAGCCACCACGCCGCCCAAGCAAGCACUCCCUUUGGCCAUCAAGACUACUGUCGAGGCAGGGGCCAAGGGCCUCAUCUUUGCGCAGUACACCGCCAACAAUCUUGACAACCUGGCUGGGUGCAAGGGAUUCAUGCCUUGCGCGCUGGUGGAUUUCGAGAUCGCACAUAGAAUUUACUUCUACUGGGAGAUGACUGAGAAUCCGGUGGUGAAGGUGUCGCCGGCAGUAAGCAUUGUCGGAAACGGGGUGUUGUCACCAAGGAUCGCCUCCUUCUCGUCCAGAGGUCCAAGCCUGUUGUUCCCUAGCAUACUCAAGCCCGACAUUACUGCACCUGGUGUCAGCAUCUUGGUAGCUUCGGGCAGCUCGUAUGCCUUCAGCUCGGGGACAUCCAUGGCGUGCCCGCAUGUCUCUGCGGUGACCGCGCUGCUCAAGUCGGUUCAUCCUGACUGGUCACCUGCCAUGAUCAAGUCCGCAAUCGUCACCACAGCGUAUGUGACCGAUCAUUUUGGGAUGCCGAUCCAAGCAGAAGGGGUCCCAAGGAAACUAGCCGACCCCUUCGACUUUGGUGGUGGCCACAUGAACCCAGAUAGGGCCGUUGACCCUGGCUUGGUUUACGAUGUGGAUGCAACGGAAUACAACAAGACGGCUGCGAUUGUUGAAGCUCCAGCGGGGAUAGAUGUGCUCGUGGAGCCAUCUGUGAUCCGUUUCACCCAAGGCGGUAGUAAAAGCGCGAAGUUUAUGGUGAGAUUCACAGCAAGGCAGAGAGUACAAGGAGGGUACACUUUCGGGAGCUUGACAUGGUCAGCCGGAGGCACUCGCUCGGCGCUAGCAAGCUACUUCUACUCCCUUUCCCUAGACAACAACAUUACGGCUGGAGUUAGGAGACACCUCAUCGCCAGCCCCCAUGCGGCGAUGCCGAGAGCACUCUUAUAUCAUCCAGAAAGUAUACAUCUAGCAAUAUUGCAAGAAAACUUUAGGCGAGCACAACACGCCACACCGCAGCCCAACCCAAGGCUCGUGGCCCAUUUCCGUAGCGAGCACACCUCAUUUUAUAAAGAUCUGACAACUGAUAGCCGCCCCGUGCCACCCCUCACCGGCCCCACAUGUCACACCAGUCGUCCACCUCACACGCACGACCCACACAGCGUCGAAAUCGCCGGCCACCACCCCACAUUGCAAUGA